rnacentral:rRNA from 1 species
CUUGGUCAUUUAGAGGAAGUAAAAGUGGUAACAAGGUUUCCGCAGGUGAACCUGCGGAAGGAUCAUUAAAAAAAGAGAAACGUCCCGUUUUUUUCAUAAGAAUGGGUUCUAUUCCCUUAAACCGUGUCUACAUACCUUUGUUGCUUUGGCAGGCCGCCUUCGGGCGUCGGCUCCGGCUGAUAGUGCCUGCCAGAGGACCCAAACUCUAUGUUUAGUGAUGUCUGAGUACUAUAUAAUAUUUAAAACUUUCAACAACGGAUCUCUUGGUUCUGGCAUCGAUGAAGAACGCAUCGAAAUGCGAUAAGUAAUGUGAAUUGCAGAAUUCAGUGAAUCAUCGAAUCUUUGAACGCACAUUGCGCCCCUUGGUAUUCCGAGGGGCAUGCCUGUUCGAGCGUCAUUAUAACCACUCAAGCCUGGCUUGGUAUUGGGGCUUUCGCGUGUUCCCGGCCCUUAAAAUCAGUGGCGGUGCCGUCUGGCUCUAAGCGUAGUAUUUUCUCUCGCUAUAGGGUUCCGGUGGUUACUUGCCAAAACCCCCCAUUUUUUCUAGGUUGACCUCGGAUCAGGUAGGGAUACCCGCUGAACUUAAGCAUAUCAAU